ACGAACGCUGGCGGCGUGCUUAACACAUGCAAGUCGAACGAUGACGACCGAGCUUGCUCGGUCUGAUUAGUGGCGAACGGGUGAGUAACACGUGAGCAACCUGCCCUUCACUCUGGGAUAACCUCGGGAAAUCGGGGCUAAUACCGGAUAUGAGCUCCUGUCGCAUGGCGGGUGUUGGAAAGUUUUUCGGUGAAGGAUGGGCUCGCGGCCUAUCAGUUUGUUGGUGAGGUAGUGGCUCACCAAGGCGAUGACGGGUAGCCGGCCUGAGAGGGCGACCGGCCACACUGGGACUGAGACACGGCCCAGACUGCUACGGGAGGCAGCAGGGGGGAAUAUUGCACAAUGGGCGAAAGCCUGAUGCAGCGACGCCGCGUGAGGGAUGACGGCCUUCGGGUUGUAAACCUCUGUCAGCAGGGAAGAAGCGAAAGUGACGGUACCUGCAGAAGAAGCGCCGGCUAACUACGUG
rnacentral:rRNA from 1 species